rnacentral:rRNA from 1 species
GGGGUUCCGAGUUGUAAUUUGUAGAGGAUGUUUCGGGUACCGCCUCGGUUUAAAUUUCUUGGAACAGAAUGUCAGAGAGGGUGAGAAUCCCGUCUUGGACCGGCGGUAGGGCCCAUGUGAAACUCCUUCGACGAGUCGAGUUGUUUGGGAAUGCAGCUCAAAAUGGGUGGUAAAUUUCAUCUAAAGCUAAAUAUUGGCCAGAGACCGAUAGCGCACAAGUAGAGUGAUCGAAAGAUGAAAAGAACUUUGAAAAGAGAGUUAAACAGUAUGUGAAAUUGUUGAAAGGGAAGCGCUUGCAACCAGACUUGAGCGCGGCGGUUCCCCCUUCCUUUUGGUUGGGUUACUCCGCCGUGUCCAGGCCAACAUCGGUUCUGGGGGUCGGUUAAAGGCCCGGGGAAUGUACCUACUCCUUCGGGGGUAGACUUAUAGCCCCGGGUGUCAUGCGACCACCCGGGACCGAGGAACGCGCUUCGGCUCGGAUGUUGGCGUAAUGGUUGU